AUUGAACGCUGGCGGCAUGCCUUACACAUGCAAGUCGAACGGCAGCAUGAUCUAGCUUGCUCGAUUGAUGGCGAGUAGCGAACGGGUGAGUAAUACAUCGGAACGUGCCCUGUAGUGGGGGAUAACUAGUCGAAAGAUUAGCUAAUACCGCAUACGACCUGAGGGUGAAAGUGGGGGACCGCAAGGCCUCAUGCUAUAGGAGCGGCCGAUGUCUGAUUAGCUAGUUGGUGAGGUAAAGGCUCACCAAGGCGACGAUCAGUAGCUGGUCUGAGAGGACGAUCAGCCACACUGGGACUGAGACACGGCCCAGACUCCUACGGGAGGCAGCAGUGGGGAAUUUUGGACAAUGGGCGAAGGCCUGAUCCAGCAAUGCCGCGUGUGUGAAGAAGGCCUUCGGGUUGUAAAGCACUUUUGUCCGGAAAGAAAUGGCUCUGGUUAAUACCUGGGGUCGAUGACGGUACCGGAAGAAUAAGGACCGGCUAACUACGUG
rnacentral:rRNA from 1 species